rnacentral:rRNA from 1 species
CAGCAGCCACGGGAAUACGGAGGGGGCUAGCGUUGUUCGGAAUUACUGGGCGUAAAGCGCACGUAGGCGGCUUUGUAAGUCAGAGGUGAAAGCCUGGAGCUCAACUCCAGAACUGCCUUUGAGACUGCAUCGCUUGAAUCCAGGAGAGGUCAGUGGAAUUCCGAGUGUAGAGGUGAAAUUCGUAGAUAUUCGGAAGAACACCAGUGGCGAAGGCGGCUGACUGGACUGGUAUUGACGCUGAGGUGCGAGAGCGUGGGGAGCAAACAGGAUUAGAUACCCGCGUAGUCCCUGUCUCUUAUAC